UUGAACGCUGGCGGCAUGCUUUACACAUGCAAGUCGAACGGUAACAGGGUGCUUGCACCGCUGACGAGUGGCGAACGGGUGAGUAAUACAUCGGAAUGUACCCAGUCAUGGGGGAUAACGCUUCGAAAGGAGUGCUAAUACCGCAUACGCCCUGAGGGGGAAAGUGGGGGACCGCAAGGCCUCACGUGAUUGGAGCAGCCGAUGGCUGAUUAGCUAGUUGGUAGGGUAAAGGCCUACCAAGGCAACGAUCAGUAGCGGGUCUUAGAGGACGAUCCGCCACACUGGAACUGAGACACGGUCCAGACUCCUACGGGAGGCAGCAGUGGGGAAUCUUGGACAAUGGGCGAAAGCCUGAUCCAGCAAUGCCGCGUGCGUGAAGAAGGCCUUCGGGUUGUAAAGCGCUUUUGUCAGGGAGGAAAUCCUAGUUUCUAAUAAAGACUGGGGAUGACAGUACCUGAAGAAUAAGGACCGGCUAACUACGU
rnacentral:rRNA from 1 species